UGCUGUGAGCUGAUAAAGCCCUAGUAUUAUUUCUGUGGAAUCUGUGCUCUUAAUAAUUUACAGGCAGCCCAGGUGCACUUUGGAUCUGAUCAGAUGGACUAAAUCUUGGGGACUCUGCACAAUUGACCACUCAGGGUUGGUAAUGUUUUCUGAGGACAAAAAAAGAAGAAAAAAUUAGAACCAGAAAAUUUGGUUGAAUCUAGCAUCGGAGAGAUGACCUUGGGACAGCCAGGAAGAGCUGGAACAGGGUUUAGUCACAGGCUCCUCACCCUCUGCCGAUGGGCAGGUGUGUGAGCUCCAGCAUGGAGCACCGCAGCACUAGGAGGGAAGAGGCUGAGAGUGUGGUGGGGCAGCCUGGGAGCUGGGGCAGUGCAGACAGACGAGCAACUGUUUCAUCACAGAUGCUUCUGUCCUUACCCAGCCCUUCUGCUCUGCAGGACAGGGAGGAAGUUCAGGAAAAUCAAGGCCCAGAACUCACUUGGCCCUUCCCCAGAGGACCAAGCCCUGAAUCAGGUGCAGUGCUACCUGCCUCACUGUGCCAUGAACCCUGGGCUCCUAUGCUGGACACUGCUUUGUCUCCUGGGAGCAGUCCCAGUGCAGGCUGAAGUCACCCAAAGUCCCACACACCUGAUCAAAACAAGAGGACAGCAAGUGACUCUGAGAUGCUCUCCUAUCUCUGGGCACACCAGUGUGUCCUGGUACCAACAGGCCCCAGGGUUCCAAUUCUCCGACUAUCACUCUGAGAUGAACAUAAGCACCUUGGAGCUGGGGGACUCAGCCCUGUAUCUCUGUGCCAGCAGCUUGGCACAGCCCUGCAGAGUCACUGCAACUCUGUGCACCAACCUCUCUGCUUCAGUAUAUGGCAAUCUCAGAUCAGACAGCUGUGAGAACCUGGGGCCUUCAGGGGCAAAGAAAAACAAUUUCAGGACUCUGAACAAGUCUGGGGAAAGCAAGGCCAGGAGGAUCUGCUCAGAGGAUGCUGCUGCUUCGGGAGGUUCAUGGCAAAUUACCUUCUUUGCUGGAAGCUGC
rnacentral:lncRNA from 1 species